GGAUAUGAUGGAGAUCUGCCUGUGACAUCUGUCACCCCACUGAUCCACCACGGUUGAGUGGGCUGAUCUGGCUGGCUAGGUGGCUGCCUCCCUCACGGCUCCAUGUACAACCCUCCCACAGCUGCCUGCUCACUUGAAAAGAGAAUGACCUUCCCCGAGUACAUAGGGACCAGUAUUCAGUCGAGGGUAUAUGAGUAGCUGCACUGCCUUGCACGAACCUGCAAACAAGCUCUCAGGAAGGGAUGGUUUAUGCAUCUAUUGGAAUACCACUCGCACUGCAAGGAAAGUUAAAAGCUUGCCAUUUGGUAAACAUGGUAAAAAUCAAUCU
ensembl:misc_RNA 7SK 7SK RNA